rnacentral:rRNA from 1 species
AGAGAGAGACAUGCGCGCAUAUCAAUAAGCGGAGGAAAAGAAACUAACUAGGAUUCCCUCAGUAACGGCGAGUGAAGCGGGAAGAGCUCAAAUUUGAAAUCAUUCAAGGUUCUACCUUGACGAAUUGUAGUUUAAAGAAGUGUUUUCUGUUGAGGUUUUGGUAAAAGUUCUUUGGAAUAGGACAUCAUAGAGGGUGAGAAUCCCGUAUUUGACCUUUACUUUCAACUUUGUGAUACACUUUCAAAGAGUCGGAUUGUUUGGGAAUGCAGUCCAAAAUGGGUGGUAAAUUUCAUCUAAAGCUAAAUAUUGGCGAGAGACCGAUAGCGAACAAGUACCGUGAGGGAAAGAUGAAAAGAACUUUGAAAAGAGAGUUAAACAGUACGUGAAAUUGUCAAAAGGGAAGCGUUUGACACCAGUGUUGUUUUUCUGAAAAUCAAUUAAAGAACUGUUUAUGCUAAGUUGUUUAGACUUUAUCAGCUAACUGUUUAGUUUUGAGCUUUUCUUUAAUGCACUUUUCAGUUAACAAGUCAACAUCAAUUUCUUUUGCUGUAAAAAAGCUUGAGGAAGGUGGCUUGAGAUUCGUCUUAAGUGUUUAUAGCCUCUUGCCUAUGCAGUCGGAGAGAUUGAGGUCUGCAGCGUAGAUCCUUCGGGGCUAAAUGCAUUUGUGCUAAGUUAUAGCAUUUUAUAGACAACUUGUUGACUAUGAUUUGUCUUGUAGCUUACUCGCUUAUGUUAUUUUACCUACGCUUAGGAUGUUGAGCGCAUGUCUCUCUCU